GUCGCCAUCUUUCUUUCUCAUACGCGGCAUCGCAGUUCAUAUCGGUGGUACCGGCGUAUCUCCCGCGGCACGGAUCCAGUCUGUCGCGACGUCGCGAUUUCGUGCAGAAGAAAUCUCCCAUCCGGAAAGGCAUUGGCCGGAGACGGAUUGAGGUAGAUGAGGCUUGAUUCACGACGAACGCGCUGCGCGGAAAUCUGUCGAUCUCGGCAACACGACGCCACCGCCGAGCGCAUUCGUCGCGCGUAUAAAAUCCGCGAUACGCGACUCGAGAAAGAAGUCUGCCAGCGAGACUCGUGGAGGCGGGGAGGGAGGAGAAGGGGGAGUGGAAAGGAGCGGAACAGCGGGACGGCGCGGAAUUCUAUUCCUCCGUUCCUUGUAUUCGGCACCGGUCCACCUUCCAGAGUUCCAGUAGUGCAGCCUUCCGAUAUAUCCGACCGCGCGCGAUCAACAUGGAUGUGGUAAAUUCCGUUGCUGCGCAUCGUAUUGCCUGGACCUUCGUCAUGCUGGCACAAUGGCCGCUGGAUUUGCCACGAGCACUGCCGUUCUAAGCUCCGCCGCACCGGUUGUUUCUUCGCCGGUGAAACCGACUGAUAUUGUUAAGCAUUACGGUCAUUUCGCCGAAGCUACCGUGAAAGAGCCAGAGAAAAAUCGCACAAUGGCAGAAUUGCAUACUGGGAGAAUUGCAGUAAUCGAGAAUAACGGCACGACUCGAAGAUUAAACUACAAAUCUCGGUAUCAAAAGGAGAAGAGAAAUAAAACGUAUGCGAAUUCAAAUGAGACCACUUUUCCCAAGAGGGUUAACGUCACGCCUGAAUCACGAAUCGCAAGCUGUGCGAUAAUAUUUACUCGUCGCCGCGUUCCGCACGCAUUGCUGCUCGCGUGUGCGCGUUUUUUCGCCCACGUUGAGCUCAAUCAAGAAGUGAUACGGGCAGACGGCGCGGGCGUUUGGAGAUUCUACCCCGAGAUCGUCGACGAAGCGAACAGCCGGGCUACAUCCUGCGCAAUAAGAACCCAACCUCCACACCGGCAACAAGGCGGGAUGAAAGUGACACGUUCCGGCCGGACAUUUCGCUGCGAGUCAUUUUCACGACAAUACGACUGGUCUUCUAACGAUCGCGGAAUUAAUUAGUCCCGUCUACAUGAAGCAGAAGUUUCGCUUUAGUUAGAAUAAACGUAACAAGAAAAUUUUUCUCCAGCAGACUGCACCAGAAUGCGGACGAAUAGAUUUUUCUAUUGGCCGUGGCGCUGGUGACCACACGCGGAGCGACCGACGCAGGAUCAUCGCACAACCGGAUACCAUCAUGCGCCGCCAUUUUAUUCAACGUCCGCUGAAAGAGAGCUUUGUUUCCGCUUAUGAACGCUAAUAACCUGCGCCGUUCGAAGAUGACGAUCGGCGAUCGCGCGGUAAAUAAUAUAAAGUGAUUUAAAUAAAAUAAUUAAUUAAUAUAAUUUGUAACUUGCAAUUCAACAUAAUAAAUGAUGCUACUAUUUUUAUUAUUACAAAGUAAACGUAACAUUUAUGUUAAAUUUUUACUAGAGUCGAAUGUUAAUUUAACAUAAUGUGAUUGUGCUAUUUGAAUAUUUUAUAUCAAAUUAGUUAAAUUGUCAAAUUGUCAUUGAACAUUCAGUAUUUCAUUUAUUUUUAAUAUUAAAAUAAUACAGCACACAUAAGUAUAAUUAGUAUUAUAUUCAAGUAAAAAUAAAUUAACAGUUUUAUUAAU
rnacentral:misc_RNA from 1 species